rnacentral:ncRNA from 1 species
GAAGCUCUUCUGUUUUGCGAAGUCCCAAGUUUCACUUGGGAUACGCUCCGAACCGAGUUUCGGAACAUAGCAGCAGAGGGGUUUU